rnacentral:rRNA from 1 species
AACGAACGUUGGCGGCGUGGAUUAGGCAUGCAAGUCGUACGCGAAAGAGGGGGCAACUCCUCGAGUAAAGUGGCGAACGGGUGAGUAACGCGUAGGAAACCUGCCUUCGAGAUGGGGAUAACACUCCUAACGGGGUGCUAAUACCGAAUGACACUGCGGGAUCGCAUGGUUCUGCAGUCAAAGGUGCCUCUGCUUGCAAGCUACACUCAAAGAUGGUCCUGCGUCCCANAGCUAGUUGGCGGGUAACGGCCCACCAAGGCGACGAUGGGUAGCCGAUCUGAGAGGAUGACGGCACACUGGGACUGAGAUACGGCCCAGACUCCUACGGGAGGCAGCAGUCGAGAGGCUUCGGCAAUGGGGGAAACCCUGACCGAGCGACGCCGCGUGGAGG